rnacentral:lncRNA from 1 species
GUUCGACGAUCACAAGGCAGAGGGUUUGGGUAUGGGCACCCAUUGCCAUCGGUCGUUGGUCUCCCUGUAGCCGAGGCAAAGAGGAGGAUAAAACAAUGCAGGCCAGAUGUCUACAUUGAGGUCCUUUCGGCAAUAGGAAUCAGACGAGGUCACAGGUACAGGCGCCUCGCCAAGUGUAACAAGAGACACGCCCCGUUCUUGUCUCGUACCGACUCUGCUUCGGACGGCCGUUUAGAAUUACUCACCGGAGUCCAGAGAGGCGGAGAGCCGGAGCGGAGAGGCAGUGGCGCCUGGGCGGCUGCCGGCUGGGUGCUGGAACCGCCGGCCGGAGAGGGUGCGCUAGCCGGCCAGGCCUGGGGCACGCUGGUGACUCGGCGAGGGGCGAAGGGAGUCGUGGAGAGUGCGCGGCCGCGGCGCCGCGUGGGCGCCGGCGCGGCGCGUGAAGGCAGCGGCGCCGCUGCCACGGCUGGGCGCGCGCCUGGCGGGAGCCGGGAGGCCGCCGCCCGCCAGCUGGACGCGGCGGGAGGAACGACGGCGCGAGUAGCGGCCUCGCGGGACGGCAGGAGCGCCGGAGUCGCGGCUCGCGGGACCGUCGUCGCCGUCGGUCGUUUGGGACUUGGGAGCAGUGGCGGAAAGGGAGGGGAGAUUGCACGGGAGAGAGAAGAAGAUAUUAGGGUUAGCAAUAACCAAAACAACGCGACUGAAAUUGAAACAUCAACCGGUAGCAGACUGCCCGGGCGAAAGAGACUCCUCUGGUCGCCAAUAAUUUUCGGUGUGACCACGGUUAAAGAUUGUUCAGUGCAAUACGCAACACGCAGUGCCUUCUCGAAGUGCAGAGGAAUUAUUAAAGCACCUGAAGAUGAGAUGACCGCAUACUUCCAACAUGGUUUGGUUCACGCGAAACGUUGGAUUGGUUAUCGUUUCGCGGUCUCUUCUGGUCGAUUUGGUGGGUUAGCGGGUGAUUGUGGAACAAGUCGGGUGCAGGGUGCUAGUGGUUUCCGUAAGCAGCUCGACUUGACAACAAAUUUCGCCACCCAAUCCGUAAUAGAGCGUACAGUCUCUGCCGGUGCAACAGCAGGGAGAUCAACAAAAAAUGGAAUACAGUAA